ACGAACGCUGGCGGCGUGCUUAACACAUGCAAGUCGAACGGUGAAGCGCCUUCCUUUUUGGUGGGUGUGGAUGAGUGGCGAACGGGUGAGUAACACGUGAGUAACCUGCCCCCUUCUUCUGGAUAACCGCAUGAAAGUGUGGCUAAUACGGGAUAUUCUGGGUCUGUCGCAUGAUGGGUCUGGGAAAGAUAUUGUUUCGGUGGGGGAUGGGCUCGCGGCCUAUCAGCUUGUUGGUGGGGUGAGGGCCUACCAAGGCGGUGACGGGUAGCCGGCCUGAGAGGGUGGACGGUCACACUGGGACUGAGACACGGCCCAGACUCCUACGGGAGGCAGCAGUGGGGAAUAUUGCACAAUGGGCGCAAGCCUGAUGCAGCGACGCCGCGUGAGGGAUGGAGGCCUUCGGGUUGUGAACCUCUUUCGCCAGUGAAGCAGGCCUGCCUCGUUUGUGGGUGGGUUGACGGUAGCUGGAUAAGAAGCGCCGGCUAACUACGUG
rnacentral:rRNA from 1 species